rnacentral:lncRNA from 1 species
GGCCAAAAUACAUGAAGGUCGCCUGUUCCUUGGCCAUUGCAUUCUUGUAUAUCAAAAUCAAACAGUAAUUGCUAGAAUUUUUGAGCCAAUGAGUUGCUUCUUUUCGUUUAAUCGCUGUUUUCUCAUAGCCAUGUCUUUGUACUCUGUAGCAUGUUUAUACUAACUUACUGCAGAUCCUAAAAGAUUAGUUGUUCUGUAGACUUACUGAUGAAGUGGAUGAUGACAUGAUUUGCCUCCCUUUUUGGCCUGAUCAAGUGAAUGAUGACACGAGUUACCUUCCUUUUUGGCAUUGUCCGCGUAGAGAUUUAUUACUUUUGUUGGUAAUGUACUCAAGUAAUAAGUACUUUUUGGGAGAUGGACAGGGGCAGGGACAGGUACGGUUGCAAAGGUUUUGUGCAAAAUGCACAGCGCGUAAUUCUGUGUGCACACGGUGUAACUCAUUUUUAAUGUGUAAUUAUAGAAUAAAAUUUUGUGGGUUCCAUAUAUGGUGUGGAAAACGAUGUAUAAGAUGUUUAAAUCUUAUAUAUUUUUUUAGUCAAAUCUUGAUCAUAAACGUUUAGAAACGUGAACCGUUCCUGUCCCUCCUCCUUGGGGAGAUAGUAUUCUUCACUUCUCAUUUCUCCCACUUUCCUUUCCUUGACACGUUGUAAGUUGUUUCAUGUUCCCAGGAGACAAAAAUAGAUGUAAUGUUCCAAGUCGGUCUUUUGUAUUUUCUUCAAGGCGAAUUUAUACAUGAAAUUUGUAAUGUUUUGACACGACGAUCUUUGAUGAAGUUAAAGGGUCAUAGAGUGAAAAUAUGGGAUGUGAUAAGGGAGUUGCCUGAAGCCAAGCCCGACGGGUAAAAUGUGAGAUGCAUAUUUCAAUAAAUAAAUGAAUAAUUGAGCUCUAGGAACCAGAACCUCGUCUGGCAAAAAUUAGAAAUGGAUGAUUUAAUUAAAGGGUGGAUGUAAUUUGCCAAACUGUAGCAUAUUCCAGGCCCCAUUUAGGCCGUUUCUUUCUCCUUUCUUCGUUUUCUCCUCCUUUAUUUAAAUGAAAGAAUCACAAAACUCAAAAAACCAUUGAGAAAACUAUAUUUAUUUUCCCUUUAAUUAAAGAUGUGCGGCACAAAAAUUUGCUGGAUGCAUUCUUAAAGAUGUAGUUCUCCCAACAGGAUUGUGUAAGCAGCAUUUGGAAGCCACUUGAUCUUCAAAACUUGCUGAAUGCAUUCUUUCAAGUGUAUAUAGUUUGCCCAACAGGACAGAGAAGUCGCAUUUGAUGGCCACAUGAUCUUCAAAUGCUAUAUCAACAUGAGAUAUGGUAGCUGCUAAUAGAAGUAGUUUGCAUAAAUCAAACUAGUGCUAAAGGCACACACGUUGUGUGUGUAAUUCAAAGAUUUUUUUUUUUGGAAUUAAUUUUACAUAUUACUUAAAUAUAUUGUGGUAUUUUAACCUUUUUUUUCCAUCAAAUGAUGAUUAUUUUUAUAGUUACAAUGCUUAUAGACAGUUGUUUUAUCAAAAUUUGUUUAGAUAGUUAUGGUUGCAUUUGGAUUGUAAAUUAUUUGAGAUAUUUUUACUGUAGCACUUUUUGUGAUGUGAUGUAUGUGAGAUAAAAAGGUAAUUGGAAAGAUAAAAGGGUGCGUUGAAAAUUGUAAUGAUGAUGUAAGUAAAUAAAUUUUGGCUAAUAAUAAUUCUCUGUCCAAACAAAUUGUUGCAUGCUAUAUCUUGACUAACGUAGCAAAAAGGUCUUCCCGUCAGUAUCAUCAGUUAGAUGACCAAUUUAUGCUCACCAAAAUCCUUGGAUGUCAGGAAAAUGUCAGGGAAUCCUUGGAUGUCAAACUUGCCCUUUUGGAAGACAACAAUAAUGCUUUCCCUCACAAUUUCAUAAAAUACACCACCAAUGUUUUAAUAGGCACGUUAUUCCCUUACCUACUUUAUAUCUACUAGUGAUCGGGACAUACUCGAUGGGGUUGCACUCCGUUAAACAUAUGAUAUAAUAAAAAAAUGAUAGAUGAAGAAACAAAUGAAGAAUAGUUGAGAAAUGUGCACGCGCGCAAUAGUCAAAUCAAGAAAGGAAAAAGUAUGAAAGACCAUUGUUCGAUUUCACUGACGAAACGAAACCCUCCCGAUGGACCACCGCUUUGAGUGAAAAUUGGGGCUUUUAGAUUCUUCUUCCAGUUCCUUCAGUCAAUUCUUAGCUUUCUCUUUUCUGUUAGUUUGUUGCAGAACUUCAAUGCUAACCAUGUUGAAAAUAAAGUUACGUCAUGUCGAUUCAUGUAUAGCUAGGCUUGGUGACCCGCGGGUUCCGCGGGAUGUCCAUUAUUGAAUAUAUUAGGGUAAUGAAAAAUUUAUUUAAUAGCAUAGAUUUAUUGUAUUUUGUAUGAUAAUGGAGCUGGAAUAGUGGAUAGAGCAUUGAUAUAUUGGAUUCAUUUAUUUAUAAAUAAAUAUAGUAAAAUUUAUUUGAUUUGUAUUGUGUUUUUUAAAAUUAAUAUGAUCUAGGGAUUUAAUGGAUAAUAUUGAAAAAAUUUUGUUUUUGUAUUUUAAUUGUGGGGUGAGUAAAUAUUAUUUAAAUUAAUGGAAUAUAUAUUAAAUUUUUAAAGUUUAUAGCAUGGAAAAUUAGGUGAAGAAUUACAUUGACAGUGUUAUAAUUUAUUUUGUUUUGGGCAUUGGCAGUUUAUGUAUUUUAGACGAUGAUUUUUUUAUAAUUUGGAUAGCUAGGAUGAGAAAGUGUGUAUUGUUGUAGUGGAAAAGUCUAUGGAAAUUAUAUAAAAGAAUUGAAAAUUUGCUGAGAAAUAAAUGCAUAAUAGAUAUUUUUUGGCAAAUUUUGAUAUAGUUUGGGUGUUGUAUGAUGACAUAAAUUAAUAAUUUGGAAAUAAUUUGAUAUUGCACGUUGGUAAAAUAUGUGUUUAUUAAUUAAGUAGGUUUUUUUGGAUAAGUAAAGAUAAUGUUUAUUUAGUUAUGAAUGAAUGUGAUCGAAAUAGAUAGAAGUUGUAUUUUUUUAAUUAAUAGAAUCUGAAUAAAUAAAGGAUAAUAUUAAUUUUGAGAGCUGAGAGAUUUGAUAUAUUAAUAGUUUAUUGAUAAAUGGAUAUUAUUGAAAGUAAGUUGAUGUGUAUAAAUUUUUGUACAAGAAAUAAAAAUUAUUGGACAUGAAAAUUAUAGAGUUUAAUCAGUGCAAUUUGUGGUAGAAUUUUUUAAUAUUUAUUGUUUGAUGUUUAUAUGAGUUAUUUUAUGUUACUUAAAGUUAGAGUGAAUUUUGUAUUAAUAUAUAGUUAUAGGUAUAUGAUAUAUUUUGUAAUAUGUAUGUAUGUAUGUAUGUAUGUAUGUAUGUAUAUGUGUGUGUGUGUGUGUGUGUGUUUAGUAUUUUAUUUUAGGUGAUAGAAUAGUUUAAAUUUUUGUAGUGUUUAUAUUUUUUGUGGUUUUGUUUGUUAAUUAUAUAUUUAUUUAUUUGUUUAUGUAUGCGUACAUAUAUAUAUGUAAUGUAAUAUUUAUUUAAUAAUUGAUAUUUAGAGUGUUUUGUAUGAUAAUAGGGUCGGAAUCAUAGACAGGGAUGUGGCAGAUUAGAUUAAUAUAUUUAUAAAUAGAUAUAGUAAUAGUGAUGUGAUUUGUAUUUUAGUUUUUAAAAUGAAUAGGAUGGAAACAUUAGUUAAAAUAAUGAAAUGUAUAUUAUUUUUUUUAAAUUUAAGAUAAAUUAAUAAUUUGGUAUAUUUUGGAUGUGUUUAUUUUUAUAUUGUUAGAUAUAACUGGGUGGAAAAUAUAGAGAAUUUAAGGGACAUAUAGUUGGUAUGCGUAAUAAGGUACAUGGGAGAUGCUUAAUUAUGAUUGUUGGAAAAAGUCUCUUCAGAAGAAUUGGAAAUCAUAAUUGUUUUUGUUGAGCAGGGUGAAGAGGAUGACACUUCCUUCGUACAAGAAGUGUUUUUGUGGGAACUCUAGCCAACCUUCUGUUUUUUCUAUUCAUUCAACCUGAAAGAUCCAUCGAGUUUUAGCAUAAUAGCAGUUGAUGAUUCUUAUGUCAUUUACUUCCAUAAUAUUUCGAUAGCAGAAAAAAUAUUUACUUCCAUAAUAAUUUAUUGAUCAAUAAAUAUUACAGAAGUAACAUUUAUGAAAUAGGGGGAAACGAUCCUAUAAUUUUUGAAGCAAUUAUCUAAUUAAUCAUCAUUUUGUAGAGAAUAAAAGUGAUGUCCUAAAGAAAUUUGGUAAAAGUAAUAUUUUUGGAGCACAGGGAAAUUAUCUUACAUUUUUCAGAAUAAAUGUGUCAUUAAUCAGCAAAAAGCAAAAAGGGAAAAUCUGUAUUCACUAAUAAAUGAACAUGUAAUUAAUUAUUAUUUUGUAUUUUUUAUAUUUAUUUUAUGUCACUUGGUCUUAAAAUGCGAAAGCUUUAGACUAAUAAUUCUAUAACUUGCAGUUUUGUGUAAUUUAAAAUUAACAAAUAUUGUACACAGGGAAAUUAUCUUACAUUUUUCAGAAUAAAUGUGUGAUUAAUCAACAAAAAGCAAAAAGGGAAAAUUUGUAUUCGCCAAUAAAUGAACAUGUAAUUAAUUAUUAUUUUGUAUUUGUUAUAUUUAUUUUAUGUCACUUAGUCUUAAAAUGUGAAAGCUUUAGACUAAUAAUUCUAUAACUUAUAAUUUUAUGCAAUUUAAAAUUAACAAAUAUUGUAAAAAUAGUAUUUUUUAUAUCAAAAGCAGUACAAUUGAUUUAUAUUCAGUAGAUCGACAAGGAAUUGAUUUUGUUAUAGAAGCAAGGUUUUUAAAAAGUAGAGGGAAAUUAUGCUAGCGCAGAGUAACACAAUUGAUUUGCAUUCAUCAGAUCGGCGUAGAAUUUCCUUGAACGUACGCAUGCUGCAGCAAAUCAAUAUUUUUUGUUGGGAUAUUGGCGGCUGAAGACAGGAGAUGCAGGAGCAGUGCAAGGUACAAAUAACAAAAGGACAAAAUUGAAGCCUAAAUUACAAAUAAACCAAGACAAAAGGGUAGAAUCGGAAUAGGUGACAAAAGCUAGAAGGAGGAAAGAAGCAACAGCAGGCAAAGCUGCUCUGUGCAACGUUUAGAUGCAAUGGUGAAAAGACAAAAAAGGACGAAAUCAGCAACAGAAUUGCAUUGAAACCAAGACAUUUGACUGUAGCAGCACCUUUGGCGCUUUAUGUAGUUUAGGAUAGGAUAGGAUAUGUUUUCAUAGUUAUAUUUUCUAAAAUACUUAAACAAUUAAUCGAUAAAAUGAUAUACUCUCUUCGUCUUACUUUGAUAGUCCUGUAUUCCUUUUUCAUCUGUCCCAAAUUAUAGUCCACUUUCCAAUUGAAGAAUGUAGUUGUAUUUUAAUUUUCCUAAAAUACCUUUAUUUAAUGUAAGUAGUUGUUAUUGUAAACUUAUCCCAUUUAAUGAGAGUUGAUUCUUUUUUUACCGUCAAUUCAAGUUCCCAUAAAGUUGUACCAUAUUUAAUGUGAGGGUAUUUUUGGAAUAGCAAUCUAAAUUUACUUUUUCAACAAAAUUAACUAUAUUUUUUAAACUGUGUGAAAAAAGAAACAGGACUAUCAAAGUGAGACGGAGAGAGUAUCAUUAGUACCUUAUGAUGGGCAUUGACCAUGGGAAAAGGUAUCAAUUCAAUCAUAAGUAGUAGGGUAAGUUUGCUAAAAUAAUCAAUCUAUUUAAUCCAGUAAUGAUCACCCUUACUCAUUCUUCAUGAGUAAAGAUUCUAACAUCUAACCUGGGUGCGACAAAAUUAUUUGCAGCUCCAUUUGCAGUCAUCACUUUCUGGAUUGUAUUUUCAUGAUAUAGACAAAAAAAAAAAAACAAAACAAAAA